rnacentral:rRNA from 1 species
AUUGAACGCUGGCGGCAUGCCUUACACAUGCAAGUCGAACGGCAGCACGGGUGCUUGCACCUGGUGGCGAGUGGCGAACGGGUGAGUAUACAUCGGAACGUACCUUAUCGUGGGGGAUAACGCAGCGAAAGCUGUGCUAAUACCGCAUACGCCCUGAGGGGGAAAGCGGGGGAUCGCAAGACCUCGCGCGAUUAGAGCGGCCGAUGCCUGAUUAGCUAGGUGGUGGGGUAAAAGCCCACCAAGGCGACGAUCAGUAGCUGGUCUGAGAGGACGAUCAGCCACACGGGGACUGAGACACGGCCCAGACUCCUACGGGAGGCAGCAGUGGGGAAUUUUGGACAAUGGGGGCAACCCUGAUCCAGCAAUGCCGCGUGAGUGAAGAAGGCCUUCGGGUUGUAAAGCUCUUUUGUCAGGGAAGAAACACCGGCUCUAACACAGUCCGGGAAUGACGGUACCUGAAGAAUAAGCACCGGCUAACUACGUGCCAGCCGCCGCAGUAA